rnacentral:rRNA from 1 species
ACCUCGGAUCAGGUAGGAU